CAUGCCAGGCCACUACGAGCCUUGUCGCCGCCGUGACACUGAACUUUUUGAUGGGGCUUUGCCCUCUGAGCUUAUUGGCUGUGUAGCUUCCAGCAUGCUAGCGGCGACGAAAAGGGAGAGAAAGUCGGGUAUUAACUCCACUUAUGGUUGAAGGAGUACAAAAAAUUUUGCACCGCGAGAUUUGUGGGCCAACAUACUUUAAACGUGAGGCCAUUAUAUGGUUAGUUAGAAAACUGGUUCCGCGCCCCUUUAAUAUAUGCUUUUUGUAUACUGGUUGUUCUCAAGUAUGUUAAUAAACAGAAGGCAUUCCUUUUUGUCUUGCUUGCCAUCCUAUUACACUUACAUUGCGAGAUCUGUCCGGAGGGUGCCUUAUGGCCUAAAUGUUUGUUCAUGCACAUCAGGUUUGCUCUGUUGUAAUCAUUAACUUGUUUUUUUAUGUUUCAGAAUUUCAGUCUCAGGUACUCCGGCUGCUAAACAUUGUGAGGCUGACUGCACAGGAAAUUUUGAGCAAUCUGGAUGCCUGUAUGGCUCAAGGCAAGGUGACCUCUGCACCCGCUCUACUAGUGCAGCAGCCGUUUGAGACGGUGGAUGCGCUGCUGAACUUUGAAGCAUCACUUGGUCCAGAGGAUGUUAAUGUCUUGAUCAACGAACUUGUGCAACUUGGGGGCAGAAACCCAAAUGCGGCAGUUAAGCGUAUGCUUGCUUACCUCUUUGCCGAUAAGCUGGCUGCUGAAUACUCGUGGCAUGGGAAGAAAGGAAAAAGGAAGUUCUCUGAUCUUCGACUGUGUCAGCAUUUGUUUACUGCUGUCAGGAAGCGCUUCCCACAAAGUACACGAGAUGAUGUCGAGUCAACCACUAAAUCAUGGCUUCGUCAUGCUCCUGAGAGGACUAAUGGAAGAGAUGGGGCCAGAGAUACGUGAAGGGUUGUUGGAUUGCAGAAGUACGACCGUCACAGGAAGUCGUGUUGUGUGCUGAAGACUUGCAUGCUGAAGUUGCAUGCCAGACCCAUGAACACCCACAUACAAGUGCCUUCAAGUUCCACAAGUUCAAGCACCUGAUAAUUUAUUGUAUUCAAAUGCUAUGAGUAGCAUUCUAGUCUCCCAAAGUCUGUUCUAAUUUUUUAAACAUACAGAGCUGUACUUCCUUUAUGUGUAGCUUUGUUCUGCUUACAAGACUUAUUUUAAGAUUGUAUUUUUAUCUCUUCAGUUGCAUUUGGGGGCCAUGACGAAUGUUCUAAAGCCACAUGUUUCUUCAAUAUGCCACCAAUUCUGUUCAAGUAUUAGAGGUAUUCAAAUGCUAUAAGUGCAUUCUUAUCCCACAGUGUCUUUUAAGUACUGUAAGGUUUUCCAGUACCUUUAGUUCCUUUUAGAGCCAUCAUUUCUUUGUAGUUGCACCAGUGCCAUUCAACUACCAGUGAAUUCAUGUUUUUUCUCAUUUUUUUUCUGCUUGUAAGUUUUCUUUUUGUGCGAGUUACAUUAUAGUUCGAUGGUUUGUUUAAAUUUUUGUCAAGCACACAGAACUAUACGUCCUAUGCGUGUGAUAACACAUAGAAAUGUGCAUCCUAUACAUGUAGUUUUGUUGUGCCUACAAUACUGUCAUUUUGGUCACAUAUUCAUAAGCCACAUAUUGUAUUUUUGUCCCUUCAAUUGCAUUUGAGGGCGUAUGAUGUUUGUUCUGAAACCAUGUGUUUCUUCAAGAUGCCAUCAAAUUUUAUUCAAGCACUGGAGGUUCUUAUCUAAAUACCAUUAGGUGCAUUUUUGCCCCAUGGAGUGUUUUUCUAGGUACUGUAAGGUGUUCGAGUUUAUUGUAGACCCUUUGGUUAAGUGAGGUGCUUUGAAGCUUUAUAAUUUGUGUUUACUACUGCACUAUUUAUUCAAGUGCCCCUGAGUUUUAUAGCACCUGCAGGUGUUGUACGGUGCUUUAGGUUCUGCAGAAGAGUAUUGCUCUUAAGGUCUGUAUUUUACUUGCAUAUAUAUAAGAGCUGCAGAGUGUGUUCUAGUUGUAUAAGUUUUAUUUUGAAGCCACGAUUUUGUUUCUAGUGCAGAAGUUGCUUUGAAAUGUGAAUUGUUUUCACGUAUGACUUUUUUGUGUUUAAGGACUACUGACAUUUUCUCAUUUUCAUUUUUUUGUAUGCAAUGGUCCUAUUACUUUAAGCUCUACAAAAUAUGUUGGCGAGCCGCACAGUGCCUUACAUAAUUCAGUAUAAUGCAUUUCCCACAGCCAGUCUCGGUUUUGGUAAUCGGGAAGUGCUCACACAGAAGCAGCACAUGAUGAGGGUUUGACACUUGCUCCGGCUUGCUCGGUCAUCUGCUUGGUAUUGCAUAAGGCCUCACAGCUGGUAGGCAGCAUAAACAGCGACAGCAAACGGUAGUACGUGUCAAAACAAUGUGCUGCUCCUUUGUGACCAUCUCCCGAUGACCAGAACAGAGACUGACUGUGGAAAAUGCAUUAUACCAAAUUAAAUUUAGGGCUCUAAGGUUUGCCAGCAUUUUUUAGGGAGUUUAGAGUUGUAGGAACUUCGUUGAAAACAAAAAAAAUCAAUAGUAAAAUCUAAGUCACAUUCUAUUAACAGAUGUGUUCUUACUGUAAGCCCAUUACUACUACUUCAAAAAGCUGAGAACUGCAUCGAGUCUCCGUAAGUAGCGUGCCGUUAUGGUCCUAGUCAUGACCUGUGUUCUAGUUCUGCAAGUUGCGUUCAAGCACCCCAGGUCAUCAUGUUUAAAUACUACUACGGCUAGUCACAUCAUGGUCCCAAGUGUUCUAUUCUAGGGCCUACACUUUGUGUUGACUAGUGCUUUUUCAAAAAGGUUAAGCUGAGUUACAUUAUUUCAUGUACCAAGCGGGUGUUAGAAUACCAGCGACCAUUCUUUUCUCAUGCGUGUUAUACUACUGCAAGUUUGCUGUGAUACUCCAAACUAUAUUUUACAUUAUGGCAUUGUUUAAAGAGCAGCAGUCUAGUCACAUUAUUUCAUGUGCCAAGCGGGUGUUAGGAUGCCAGCGACCAUUCUUGUCCCACGUGUGUUGUACUACUGCGAGUUUGCUGCAGUAUUUCGAAUAUCUGUUUUACAUUAUGGUUUUGCUUAAAGAACAACAGUCUAGUUACAUUAUUUCAUGUACCAUGCGGGUGUUAUACUACUGUAAGUUUGCUGCUAU